CAGACAGGUUGCAAUUAAAAUAAAAUUUACAUAAAUACAUGUGGAAGGUCAUAUACAGAGCAAGACCAACUAGAUAUAAACGAUGGGCAAAGGGGACAGAGAAGCACAUAAAAGGUGCAUGAAGCACACAUUGAGAGUAAAUCUUGCUACUGCUCACUCUUUGGGUCCACCCUGCUUUUAUGAGCUGUAACACUCACCACGAAGGUCUGCAGCUUCACUCCUGAGCCAGCAAGACCACGAACCCACCAGAAGGAAGAAACUCCGAACACAUCCGAAUAUCAGAAGGAACAAACUGCAGACGCGCCGCCUUAAGAGCUGUAACACUCACCGCGAGAGUCCGCGCUUCAUUCUUGAAGUCAGUGAGACCAAGAACCCACCAAUUCCAGACACAGUUAGAAUUUCAGUCAAAUAUAUUUGAUGUCAUACAGAUAAAAAUUCAGGAUAAUUUACUUCUAUACAGAAAAUAUAUUGGCAAUGCAAUGUAGUUAAGAAUAUUAGACCAAAUAAACCAAAUAAGGUCUAAAGAAAUAUUAGAAAUAAAACAAAGCAUUGCAAAACUCUAGCUUCAUUCCACAUAAACAACUCCUGAGUUAGAGAAAUCCUAUUUGUGUUAACAAUGAGCUCUUCCCACUACAGAAUCUCAGAGUUGAAAGGACACUCAGAGAUCAUUGAGUCCAAUUUUCUCAACACGCACAAAGAAAUUGAAGUAACUUUUCCAAGGACAAACUGCAAGUUCUAGCAGAGUGGAGACAAAACCUAGGUCUCCUGUCUCGUAUUUGGAUGGGCUUCUGCCACACUAUGCCUAAGAUACAGCAAAUUAGGACAAUGUUCCAAGCUCUGGCUUUACACUAAGAUACUAAAGCACUCAGACAAUAAUUCAUGGGAUAGCCAGUGCAGGAAGAAUGAAAUGGCUCUAUUGUAUAUGCUUAAAAUAAUGUAAAGUCCCCAUCCAUCACUCUGAAGGCUGCUUGUUGAAGGAGCUCAGGUGGUACCCUCACAGGGCACUAUAUCUAGGGAGAAAGAUACUACAUUGCAAACACUGUUAACCUAUAUGAGUGCAAGUGAGCAGAGAUAGAUUCCUGGCCUCCUGGCUGAGUCCCACAAACCUGAGCUUGUGGAGUUACACAGUGGAGAUCCCCAUCAUCACAGAGCCACUGCAGCACACUUGGCCAUGCAUGCAUUCUCGCAGGCACACACAGCCCCAUAGCGGCAGGCUGUUCCCACCAGGUUCAGGGACAUCAUCCGAGGACACUUCCCUCACCCAUCUGCUGUUCUGGGAGGCUCAAUUGCUCUGAAUUUGUAUGUGACAUUUGCCUCAUUGUGAAGUGGGUAUAAAAGAGUGUUAUUGAGCAAGGGAAAGUGCCGACAAAAUCCUGUCUAAGCUUAAGACAGAUCUCCUUAGGGUCUCUUCCUCUGAUUUCUCACUGGUGGUAUAGGCUGUGAGCAAAAAUUGAAAACACGGUUAAUUUUUUGGAAUAGCCAACAGAAUGAGUUUAAGACUAAUGCUUCUGAUAAAACCUCAUAGCUAGCUUUCCCCUACAUAAAAACUAAUAAUAAAUCAUGUUAACUUGCUACAUUUUAACUUA